GACCGACUCCUUUGUUAUGUUCUACUCGGUCGGACAUAAAAUUACAGGCUUUUGACGUUUAUACACCGAUAUGAGCUUUCUCUUUCACUCAACUUACUGCAUCGUUAGUAAGAAAGAGUAACAUUAUCAACUGUCAAAAUAUAAGCAUCGCUUACUCAAGUAG